rnacentral:rRNA from 1 species
GGGUGCGAUCAUGCCAGCACUAAUGCACCAGAUCCCAUCACAACUCCGAAGUUAAACGUGCUUGGGG